UACACUCCUCUCCUAUGGGCAGCUGUUGAGGGUCACACACAGGUAGUGACACUGCUCCUUGAAAAAGGAGCUGAUGUCAUUGCCUCUGAUAAUGUGGGUAAUACUGCUCUUGAUUAUGCUGAAGCAAGAGGUCAUUCUGAAGUUGCUAGCCUACUGAGAGUACACUCAGAAGUUUAUCGUAAUAAACUACUCAAAGCUCUCAAGGAAGGACGUGUUACAGUCAAAUACUCUAAGUUUUCUUUAUCCGGUCCACCUGGUAGUGGAAAGUCAUCUGUCUUGAAACUCUUAAAUGAUGAGGAUCCUGUCCUGACCCAUGACAGCA